rnacentral:miRNA from 1 species
AGGCUCAUGAAGACACCAAAGGAGACAUCCCCAGCAAUUAGCUGGCUGGUUUCAGGACCAAGCCAGUUCAGUCCCCUUCAAGGAGUCAGGG